GGGGAAAAUUAUUUAAUUUACUGACACUUGCAAACACAGUAGGAUGGUGAGAAACAAACACAAAAGUUACACCACUUUACCUUCACCCCUCUUCUUUCUCUGUUUGAAUUCAUUCUCUCAGUCCCAAAUCCUCUGUGCUCCUGCCCGGCAGCACAAGGGGAUGAGGAAUAAGCGACUGUUGUCAGUCCAUAACAGCUCUUCUAUGCUACUCCUUCCUCCUCACACUUGUCCCCUGCUCCAAUGUGUCUCUCCUCACGCUGCAGUCCUUCAGGAGAGACCUCCUCCUGAGCGUGCUCCUCUUCAUAGACUGCAGGUCAUGCCAGAAGCCUGCUCCAACAUGUGCUCUCCAUGGGCUACAGUUACCUUCAGGACACAUCCAACUGCUCCAGUGUGUGGUCCUGCAUGGGCUAUGGAUACCUGGAAAGACCUGCUCCACUGUGGUCUCUCGAGGAGCUGCAGGAGGUGACUGGAGGCCCCCCUGCCCUCCUCCCGCUCUGCCCUCGGGGCUCGCAGGGCUGUUUCUCACCCGGUUCCCCUCAGCCCUGCCUGCCGGGCACCGUUUGCCCUUCCUUACCCAGGCUUUGUCAGCGGCGCCCACCCCUGCCUGAGGGGCUCAGCUCUGCCCUGCGGUGGGGCCGUUGGAGCCGGCUGGAACCAGUUGCGUCCUGCACCGAGCAGCGCCGGCUGCUCCGUCCAGCAGUCAUCCAGCAGCGUUUACCUGCGGACACCCGGGAAAUGCUACAGUGUGAUCCCAAGAGUUACCUAUCCUGCUUGUCCUGAUUCUGCAGCUGCUGUGUACAUCACGUCUAACC
rnacentral:lncRNA from 14 species